AUAACAGGUCUGUGAUGCCCUUAUAUGUCCUGGGCUGCACGCGUGCUACACUGAUGUAUACAACAAGUUCCUAGCCCGAGAGGGUGUGGCAAUCUCGAAUAUGCAUCGUGAUGGGGAUAGAUCUUUGCAAUUAUAGAUCUUGAACGAGGAAUUCCUAGUAAAUGUAAGUCAUCAUCUUACAUUGAUUAUGUCCCUGCCCUUUGUACACACCGCCCGUCGCUCCUACCGAUACCGGGUGAUGUGCUGAAUCUUUUGGACCGUUUAUCGGAAAGAUAAAUAAAGCUUAUCACCUAGAGGAAGGAAAAGUCGUAACAAGGUUUCCGUAGGUGAACCUGCAGAAGGAUCA
rnacentral:rRNA from 1 species